UCAAAGGCUCUUUUCAGAGCCGCCCAUUUGUACCUUAAGAGCUUCU
rfam:Scleropages formosus scaffold1346, whole genome shotgun sequence.